AACACCAGGAGGAAAGAAACACAGCAGCUCCACUUAUCUGAAUGUAAGACUUGAGGAAUCCUGCCGAGGAAACCCUGAAUCAGGACUACCCAGAUUCCAGUUGAGGUGAGGAAGGAGAAAGGAUCUCUGAAGAAAUCUGAGGAUAUAGAUUUGCUCACUCUAGAAUCGUGGAAUUCUUGACCUUGAUGAGAAGAGGCAUCAGUUAUGCUGCUUGGGUUUUGUAAAGACCUCAAACCAUUCCAGAAAUGUUCCUUUGAAAAUAUCAGCCUGUCUCAGCUGAGGAAGGGGAAGGCAUGGACAUUUGCCCAAGCUUCAGGGGUGCAGGGAGCCAUGAGGGCCCAGAAACCAAAUGAGAACUGAGGAGCAGACCACCACAGAAAACCAAGACUCUGAAGACUGCCACUGCAGCUUGCCUAAGAAGGACAUAGACGAUGGAGUCUAGGUCCCAUGCCUGGGCUUUGCACAAUCUGCCCCAAAGGCUGGGCCAACUCUGACUAACCCAUGUUACUCACAAAAGGAAUCCUCUUGCAAAAUUAUAAUAUGGUUUGAGAAUUGACAAAAUUAUAAUAUGGUUUAAGAAUUGAUCCUUCCUCCAUGAUGAUAAGCCACCAAUCCUACUCUUAGCCUAUAUCUUACAUUAUAGUUUAGGAAAGGAUGCUCACAGUAUGCUCAAUUCAUGAUUUCCUAUCUUAGAAUAAACAAGAGGCAGUGUUGUCUAGUAGUUUAAAAGUGCUGGGUCUGGAGGUAUGCUGCCUGGGUUUGAAAUCUAUCUCUGUCAUUUGCUCACUGUUGACUUUGAGCAAGAUACUUAAAUUUCUGUGCCUCAGUAUCUUCAUCUGUAAAAAGAAAACAAUUGUAUGUUCUUCAUAAGACAGUUGUAAAGCUUAAAUAACAUAAUACCAGUACCUUAUUCAGCAUAAUGUCUGACACUCAGGAAGUACUAAAAAUAUGUUAGCUACUAUCACAUUAUUUUAGAACUUGAGAGAUAAUAAUCACAUAAACCUACCCUGCUGACCGUGCUUGACUACAGAGGUGGGUGGCUCAUCUGUUCCCCUAGUUGAGUUAAAGGCUAUCUUGGGUCUCCCUUUUUUUGACCCCAAGCAUACUUUACAGGAGAGUAAAAUCUGUUAUUAUUGUUUUUGUUGUUGCUUCCUGACUUUGUAAGAGAGCUUCAUCUUCAUUUCAUGUUGAUUUUAUUUGAUAAUAAUUAUUUUAAAAGGCUUUAGUUUUAAUGUUCCUUGCCCCUUAUCACCUCUUUCAUGUAAGUGGGAAAAGGCAGACUCAAAAGCUAGAAAUGAAACUUGGGCUUCUUCAGAUGAGGACCUGAGAGCCAAGACAGGUAAGGCCACAUGUCCAAAUACCCAUACUUAGUGACAGAGCAAGACAAGAAAUUGAUCCUGUUCUUACAUUAUUUUAAUAAAUUUGUUAAUUAAAGGUACUCUUAGAAGUAUAUAAGGAAUUAUUUGUUAAGUGACACAUUUCUCAUACACAUAAAUACAUCUUUACAUACAAAUACACAUUUGAUACAGUCUUUAAUAACACAGAUAUACACGGGGCACCUGUGUGGCCCAGUUGGUUAAGCAUCUGACUCUUGAUUGCACUCAGGUCAUGAUCUCACUGUCAUGAGAUCAAGCCCCACAUCAGGCUCUAUGCUGGGUGUGGAGUCUGCUUAAGAUUCUCUCUC